GAAUAUUGGUCAAUGGGUGCGAGCCUGAACCAGCCAUGCCGCGUGCAGGAAGACGGCCUUCUGGGUUGUAAACUGCUUUUGCCAGGGGAUAAAAAGCUCAUGCGUGGGCAAUUGAAGGUACCUGGUGAAUAAGCCCCGGCUAACUACGUGCCAGCAGCCGCGGUAAUACGUAGGGUGCAAGCGUUGUCCGGAUUUAUUGGGUUUAAAGGGUGCGUAGGCGGCCCGUUAAGUCAGUGGUGAAAUACAGCAGCUCAACUGUUGAUGUGCCAAUGAUACUGGCGGGCUAGAGUACAGACAAGGUAGGCGGAAUUGACAGUGUAGCGGUGAAAUGCAUAGAUAUUGUCAAGAACACCGAUAGCGCAGGCAGCUUGCUAGCCUGUAACUGACGCUGAGGCACGAAAGUGUGGGGAUCAAACAGG
rnacentral:rRNA from 1 species